rnacentral:rRNA from 1 species
GACGAACGCUGGCGGCGUGCUUAACACAUGCAAGUCGAACGGUGAACGAGGGAGCUUGCUCCCUCCGGAUCAGUGGCGAACGGGUGAGUAACACGUGAGCAAUCUGCCCCGAACUCUGGGAUAAGCGUUGGAAACGACGUCUAAUACCGGAUACGACGCGGGAGGGCAUCCUCUCCGCGUGGAAAGAACUUCGGUUCGGGAUGAGCUCGCGGCCUAUCCGCUUGUUGGUGAGGUAACGGCUCACCAAGGCGACGACGGGUAGCCGGCCUGAGAGGGUGACCGGCCACACUGGGACUGAGACACGGCCCAGACUCCUACGGGAGGCAGCAGUGGGGAAUAUUGCACAAUGGGCGCAAGCCUGAUGCAGCAACGCCGCGUGAGGGACGACGGCCUUCGGGUUGUAAACCUCUUUUAGCAGGGAAGAAGCGAAAGUGACGGUACCUGCAGAAAAAGCACCGGCUAACUACGUG